AUUUCUCAUGCAGACGCACAUCUCGAUAAAAUCAGAUGUCUGGAAUGUUCCAUUUCCGGCUGCUAAAGGAGGAAUUACGUCCAAAAAAGUCACUUCAGUUGGUCAGAUACAUCCACAGCGCUCAGUGGCGUCCCGCUCGAUCACCGACUGUUAUCUGCACAUCUUUUAC